ACGGGGGCGCAGCAGGCGCGAAAACUUCACACUGCAGGAAACUGUGAUGAGGGAACUCCAAGUGCAUGCACAAUGUGCAUUGCUUUUCUUGAAUCUUAAUAGUUCUUGGAAUAAGGGCUGGGAAAGACCGGUGCCAGCAGCCGCGGUAAU
rnacentral:rRNA from 1 species